rnacentral:rRNA from 1 species
UACGGAGGGUGCAAGCGUUAUCCGGAUUUCCUGGGUUUAAAGGGUGCGCAGGCGGAUGUGUAAGUCAGUGGUGAAAUCUCUAGGCUUAACCUGGAAAUUGCCGUUGAUACUAUAUAUCUUGAAUGCUGUGGAGGUAAGCGGAAUAUGUCAUGUAGCGGUGAAAUGCUUAGAUAUGACAUAGAACACCUAUUGCGAAGGCAGCUUACUACGCAGAUAUUGACGCUCAUGCACGAAAGCGUGGGGAUCAAACAGG